rnacentral:rRNA from 1 species
UACGAAGGGGGCUAGCGUUGCUCGGAAUUACUGGGCGUAAAGGGAGCGUAGGCGGAUCGUUAAGUUAGAGGUGAAAGCCCAGGGCUCAACCCUGGAAUUGCCUUUAAAACUGGCGGUCUUGAGUAUGGCAGAGGUGUGUGGAACUCCGAGUGUAGAGGUGAAAUUCGUAGAUAUUCGGAAGAACACCAGUGGCGAAGGCGGUGCUCUGGGCCGGUACUGACGCUGAGGAGCGAAAGCGUAGGUAGCAAACAGG